GACGAACGCUGGCGGCGUGCCUAAUACAUGCAAGUCGAGCGAGCGGAACCAACAGAUUUACUUCGGUAAUGACGUUGGGAAAGCGAGCGGCGGAUGGGUGAGUAACACGUGGGGAACCUGCCCCUAAGUCUGGGAUACCAUUUGGAAACAGGUGCUAAUACCGGAUAAUAAAGCAGAUCGCAUGAUCAGCUUUUGAAAGGCGGCGUAAGCUGUCGCUAAGGGAUGGCCCCGCGGUGCAUUAGCUAGUUGGUAAGGUAACGGCUUACCAAGGCGACGAUGCAUAGCCGAGUUGAGAGACUGAUCGGCCACAUUGGGACUGAGACACGGCCCAAAACUCCUACGGGAGGCAGCAGUAGGGAAUCUUCCACAAUGGACGCAAGUCUGAUGGAGCAACGCCGCGUGAGUGAAGAAGGUUUUCGGAUCGUAAAGCUCUGUUGUUGGUGAAGAAGGAUAGAGGUAGUAACUGGCCUUUAUUUGACGGUAAUCAACCAGAAAGUCACGGCU
rnacentral:rRNA from 1 species